GAUGAACGCUGGCGGCGUGCCUAAUACAUGCAAGUCGAGCGAACGGACGAGAAGCUUGCUUCUCUGAUGUUAGCGGCGGACGGGUGAGUAACACGUGGAUAACCUACCUAUAAGACUGGGAUAACUUCGGGAAACCGGAGCUAAUACCGGAUAAUAUUUUGAACCGCAUGGUUCAAAAGUGAAAGACGGUCUUGCUGUCACUUAUAGAUGGAUCCGCGCUGCAUUAGCUAGUUGGUAAGGUAACGGCUUACCAAGGCAACGAUGCAUAGCCGACCUGAGAGGGUGAUCGGCCACACUGGAACUGAGACACGGUCCAGACUCCUACGGGAGGCAGCAGUAGGGAAUCUUCCGCAAUGGGCGAAAGCCUGACGGAGCAACGCCGCGUGAGUGAUGAAGGUCUUCGGAUCGUAAAACUCUGUUAUUAGGGAAGAACAUAUGUGUAAGUAACUGUGCACAUCUUGACGGUACCUAAUCAGAAAGCCACGGCUAACUACGUGCCAGCAGCCGCGGUAAUACGUAGGUGGCAAGCGUUAUCCGGAAUUAUUGGGCGUAAAGCGCGCGUAGGCGGUUUUUUAAGUCUGACGUGAAAGCCCACGGCUCAACCGUGGAGGGUCAUUGGAAACUGGAAAACUUGAGUGCAGAAGAGGAAAGUGGAAUUCCAUGUGUAGCGGUGAAAUGCGCAGAGAUAUGGAGGAACACCAGUGGCGAAGGCGACUUUCUGGUCUGUAACUGACGCUGAUGUGCGAAAGCGUGGGGAUCAAACAGGAUUAAAUACCCUGGUAGUCCACGCCGUAAACGAUGAGUGCUAAGUGUUAGGGGGUUUCCGCCCCUUAGUGCUGCAGCUAACGCAUUAAGCACUCCGCCUGGGGAGUACGACCGCAAGGUUGAAACUCAAAGGAAUUGACGGGGACCCGCACAAGCGGUGGAGCAUGUGGUUUAAUUCGAAGCAACGCGAAGAACCUUACCAAAUCUUGACAUCCUUUGACAACUCUAGAGAUAGAGCUUUCCCCUUCGGGGGACAAAGUGACAGGUGGUGCAUGGUUGUCGUCAGCUCGUGUCGUGAGAUGUUGGGUUAAGUCCCGCAACGAGCGCAACCCUUAAGCUUAGUUGCCAUCAUUAAGUUGGGCACUCUAAGUUGACUGCCGGUGACAAACCGGAGGAAGGUGGGGAUGACGUCAAAUCAUCAUGCCCCUUAUGAUUUGGGCUACACACGUGCUACAAUGGACAAUACAAAGGGCAGCGAAACCGCGAGGUCAAGCAAAUCCCAUAAAGUUGUUCUCAGUUCGGAUUGUAGUCUGCAACUCGACUACAUGAAGCUGGAAUCGCUAGUAAUCGUAGAUCAGCAUGCUACGGUGAAUACGUUCCCGGGUCU
rnacentral:rRNA from 1 species